AUACAAUUCUUGUAUUGGUUUUAACUUCAUGGUGCUAGUGUACCCGCAAUUGUACACAGAGUACAUGUUAAUACUUUGAAUCAAAUGAUGGGAGUUUGGAAAAAUAGAAAGUAUUUAUUAUUGUCAAAUAAUUGCGCGAGUGCAUCUCUAACUAUAAUAAAACUUGUAGAUUGACUACAGAGUAAACCAAUAUUAAAGUAAAUAGGCCUUAGCGGAUCACAAGCGAACGUAUCACUCUUCAGUUCCUCAGUACUGUACUGUACUGUACACCUAUUCAAUUCCUCGUUACAGUUGUUCAGUAAACAUAAUCACUUAGUCCUCCAUCUGCCUGCAAAGCGCUGGCUGCUCAUUUUUCGAUCGCAGAAGUGAGUGACAUUGCUGGUGAGUCGUGAAUCAGUCCCGAGCCCGCCUGUACGCUGGCUGCUCCUUGCUUAUUCUCAGAAUAUUCAGAAGUGAGCGACAGAAUAUUAUUUUGCACUUCUAGCCCACCGUCGUUUUUUUAGGGUUAUGGCCUCAUGCUGGCCAAGCAAAUCGUUUCUUAAACUGAAUCGGCUCAGUUCGUUCACUUAAAAAGAUUGUCUUUGACGAAUCGUUCGCAAACGUAACAAGACGACCAAUGUGGAGGUGACUGCUCGAUAAACAAAUCGAUGAAGAGCACGAGUGCACUUUUUCUUUUCGUGCUGCAGCACAGGCUUCAAGAUGCUUCAGUAUUGUACAGAUUUUGUGGGUGAAACGGAAGAAGCUCAUGAGACCAUCUGUAGCACCAGUGGCCCGAAAAGUCCUGACGUUCCGGUUCCAUGUUUGUUGGAAGAACCGACUGUGUCCGCCGCCCACCCUUCAGUCGCUACUAAAACCAGCAACAGCGCAAGAGGAACGAAGCCGCCAAACACGGUUAAUGGAUACUUGAACCAUGUCAAGGGCAAGGCGACCAAUUCAGCACCCGCAAGGAAUGGUGGGAAACAAAGAACCGCGGUUUCAGCUGCAGCUGGCGCAUUGGUAAACGGUGAGGACCACGACGACGUUUUGUCCGCUUUUGAGCGACCGUCAACAGAACGCGACCCGCCUUUGGCAACAGGCGUGAAAAACAAGAGAUCGAGCCACGGGUGGAGGAGGAGAAAGAAAAGUAGAAAGCCGCGGAACCGCCCCGACAGCGACUUUGAAGGCACGCGGUGUAUUUUAAGACACACUGAACCCGCGUGUCCCAAGAAGCCAGGAUUGCGGCUACCGGACGAGGAAGACUGGGACAAAGAGUGCCAAACCAAUUUGAAGAGUUUUUCAAGCCAAGAUUACGGUGUCGUUCACACGCGCGUGAGGCCAUCAGCGUUUGACUGCUCGGCUUCGCGGUUUUAGCAAGCCUGCAGUCUCAUCCCGUGACCCACGACUCGGCGCUCGACAUCGGAGCAGCGUCGUGAAACUGCAUCCCGGCAAGACGUUUCUCUGCGCCCGACUGCGCUUCAUUCCAGGUUGCGGUUCUAAGAAGAGCCCCCGCGACUCGGAACGCCAUUUCGCCGACGCCAAGACAGCUGAUGUUUUCCAAGCGUCUUGAAUAACUUCCAUUGAUGACCUUAAUGGAAGCGGGAAACCAAUUUUCUGCCACGGAAGAAGCACUUUUGGAAUUCCCUUUUUAUUUUUCUGCCGUUUUACGAUCUUCGGCGCCUAGCCUGGCAUGGAGGCCCCGUGAACUUGAAGGCCAAGCUAACAAUGAGCCCCGGCGGCGGCCACGACGAGCUCCGCUCGCCCUGAUUAACUGCAAAUCCUCACCAGUGUGCUGUUUACUGCACCGCGCUGAUGCUUCUUUGUCUUUUAUCAUUAUUAUUUUGAAAACACAGACCUAAGCCGCCCUCUGAGUGUGUACGUGUAGCAAAAUGGCCACCUUUUCAUGACAGUGAAGAGGUGGGGAGGAUAAAAGACUCUGCACAUGCUACGGGUUCGUUCGGUGAGCUUUGGCAGCCUCUUUGGCAAAGCCCCUCGCUGCCAAAGCAAACACCCACUUUCAUUUUUUUUUUUUUUCCUGACUCCACACACACACGCGAGUAUGACUGUAUCUUCGGCACGGAACACGAGUCUGCCAAUCGCCCCGUGGAGUUUCGCAACACAGAACCGCGCUGCCGGGCCUCCGACGGCCAACGUGCACGGUCGACCCCGAAUGGGCGGAAAACAACUGGAAACCAAAGUGCCUCGGCGGAUGCUUGGCAGAACCCCCACCCUCCGCCCCCCUGACUGCGAGGGCUGCUGGAAUACUUUCACACAAUGCAAAUACGGCAACACUGGAAGCAAACACCGGCGUGAAGGCAAACGGGAGCGCUGCUGAGCGAACUGAACCGGCGCAGAAAGGCAAAACGGCAUUCCUUACGGGGCGGGGUGUACGCUCGGGCCGCUCGGAAGGUCCUCGGCGGUCCUACGCUUCAAGGCGACAGUCAUGUGACGUGUUUAUGUUGGGCCUUUCGGUCUGCCACGGGGCCUGUUAGGAGGCUGUGUACACUGGCAACAUUGUGUCCACGCUACUUUUCAAAAGGCCACACGCGUGCAGCCGCCUUCCGUACAAAUACGAAUUUCAUGCGAUUUUCUUUGCAGGCAGACCCAAAUGUAACAGGUCUGGAAUAGACCUCGUGCGCCUACGUCAUAAAAUCACAUGACUUUUGUUUACCUCGCCAUAUUGCCGGUCAAGCUAAGCAUUGCUCAAUGCUAAGCCGGUUGGAGACGACACGGAAAUAUGUCUUGUAGCACGACGCCCAGAGUCUUGUCCGAUAAUGUCAGACAUUUAGAGGGGGAAAAUAAACGACGGUACGUGGAAAAAUUAGUUCAAUUCGCCAUACAGGACCCAUAUUUAAUGCCGAAAUUGAUCUUUUCGCCAAAAGGAAAUUGGACUGUUAAUUGGCUUCCGCUUGUCUUGGACAACUGGAUCUACACACAGAUCUGGUGAGUAAGUCAUCGAGAUUUACACGGAAAAGUGUAUAAAAGUCUGGACGCUUACAAAUACUUUGUCGCUGGAUCUGUUCUCAUCAGGAAUAAAUCCCACAUAGUGACGGUUUUGACAGCUCGUGAACGCGGAAGCGUGUUCGGCCACACGUUAACCUUUGCCGGAAUCCAUCGAUCUCUGCAGCGAGUAUUCAAUACAAAUACCAAUAUUGAAAUAAAUGACCCCUGGUUUUACACAAACUCUCUCUCGAAAAAAAAAAAAAAAGGACGGAGUCGUCUCCACGGAACGUACACGGAAGCGAUUGCAGCCACACUUAAACCUUCGUCAACCUCUGCGACAGACAUUUUUUAUUCAUACACAUUGUUUUCAAAUGAGCCAACUUGGCAUUAUUAAUACUUUUUGGUAAUUUAAGAUUGAGAAGAAUAAUUCCUACCUGAAAUGAAACGAUCGCUACACGGGCUUGUGUGCAUUUUGGUCGGGCACCAUCCAUCACCUUUAAUUGCCAAAAUCCAUCAAUCUUUUCUGGCCUUUUCAGCUGGUAUUCCACAGAAUGACCUCUUUGAAGAUCCGUCUCGUCUGUCGUGACAACCAACAGCACAACAGGUCUCGGGUAUUGUAAAUGUUCUCCUUUCAAUGUUUCCCACAAUGUCGAGCGGCUCUGUUUAACCGGCAAUAUGGCGCCGGGAAAACGGCGACGUCACCUGCGCGAGCUUUAUAUAGCGACUGUGUAGAGAAUAAAAUUAAUUUUACCCCAGCGACACAGUUCAAACACAUUGCAACUUACAUUUAAAAAGACAAAACGGCUUCAAACUGGAAAGUACAAAAAAGUUCUAAAAUGGGCAAAAGUUGCCACGUGAUUACGGCAACACACUAGUUUUGUUUAAAUGAAGCGCCGUAACACAUUUCAAAUGAAUUACAUGGCACCAACAUCCCAGUAGAUGGCAAAGCCCUACUUUUGUUGAAAUGAAGCAGUUUAACUGCAACUUAGUUCCGAAGCACCAAGAAGCCACAAAAUGGCACAAAAGCAGUCAGUUGGUGACGUAUUUCAGCAAAUAAAGAAAUGACCAAAUAACAAAAUUCAGAAUUUACAAAGAUAAUCCUCAGUCAUGACUGACACUGUUCGAGAUUGUAUUCAUUUCGCAAUAUGUGGUUGCACUUUGCACAGCUUUGUCGCAUUUAUCGGAACAGUCGGAGUCCCACGUCGAUGUUGUUCGUAGUCGAGCGAUUGUGACGGGGAUUUUUAAUGAGUGUAAAAUUUCAAAUCAGUCCGGAAGUGCAAAUUCAGUUUCCAUAAAUUAUUCUCAAGUCUCAACAGGACGUGUAAUACACGUACAGGGAGAAAAUCAUACAUUUCCACAUUUAGGAUUGGCCUUUAAAAAAAAAAAAAGUCUGACUUGUUACUAAGGAAUUCCAACGUGUAUUGCAGAUAUACGGUACCACACGCUUGUGAUCUCCAAGGGACACUGAACAGCCUGAUUGGGUCGGAGCGGGUCGGAGGGUUCGUGGUGGUGUUUGUUAAGUGAUUCCACUCCCCUCUCACACUGACGAAAGCCCGGCAGGAGGCGGCCCACCCGAUGGUCUCUCCCCACCAUGAAGGCGGUGGUGGACGCCGUGUGGGCGGCGUGGAGCAUCGGGGCCUCCGUCUACGACUACAUCCACACCAGCGCCAUGGAGGAUCGCAUACACGCUCUGGAGAAGGUCACCGCCGUCCACCAGUGUGCCAUCGGGCUGCUCUCGGCGGCCAUCUUGGUGCUCUUCACCUACGUCUUCCUCAAGAAGCUUUGAGAGUCAAGAACGCUGAGGGAUUCUACUUGUAAGGUGAAAUAAUAUUAAUAAUCCGUUUUUUGGGAACAAACGGGCUGCAGGCUCCACUGGACAUUUAUUGGAUUUCUCAUAUCUUACUGAGAGUCAUUUUUUUUUAUCAUGGAAAUCUAACUUGAAAAUUAAAAACAAAUAAAAUGAAUACUUAGGAGAUCUUAACCAGUAGACAAAACGUUCUGUGGUGGUUUAAGAUCCGAGCGACCCAACCGAGGUUGGGUUUUUAAUUUUAGCCACAAGCUGUCAUCCGCUUUGUUUUGGGUUGGCUUUUUUGGGGGGUGCUUUGACUUGUGAGAAUUGAGAAUGACAGCAGCUUGGCAAAUAAUGAACAAUUCAUCAAAAAGGGGGCUUCAAGCUGUUCAAUGCCACUACCAGUUGAAUUUUACUGUCAAACUAAACAAAGCUAAGAAUUGCACCAGUUUUAGUUGAAGCGAUCACAGCCGUGCCUUAGGGAAGUACACCUAGCUUAAUGCUAACAAACGAUGCAAAAAAUUCCAUUGUCGUUAUAAAAGUUAAAAUGCGUAGUCGCAGAUUUAGAAGCGACGGGUAUUUGAACGCAAAGUGCGGCAAUAGAUAAUAGAACAAUAUGCAGACGCAGAUUCUUUAUCCUCUGCAACGAAUGACGAUAUUACAGUAUCUGAGUCACUUAUGGUAAGUAGUAAAAGUACCAAGUUCUCACUCACUGUGUCUACAUUAUACCGCCUGUUGUUGGCCACGGCAGGCACCCCGUAAGGAGCAACACAAUGAACUGAAUUGUGAAUGAAAUCAUGAUGCACAAACUGCUUUAUUGUUUACAUUGUAUUUAAUCAUAUUAGUAUUUGACUUAAAGUGCAAAGUGCCAUUUUUGCAGAUUAAACUAAUUUUGGGGAGCCGAGCCUUGAACGGCUUACGGCGGAUCCUCGCACGUUCGCAGUUUGGCACCUCCCGAUAUAGUUCAUUUUGGUUUUCAGUUUUUUCCUUUUUUUUUUGUUUAUUCCCACUUAUUCAAGUAUGUAUUUGGACAAUUGAUUAAUUACAAUUUCAAGCAAUUAUAAUGGGUUUUAAUUAUCUGCCAUUUUUCGCUAUCCAUAGUCCGGGCCGGCCCUGAUCCGCCACAAAUAGCGGCGGUCCACUGUCACGAAAAUUUAAGUUGUGACUGUAUUAAGUUACAACUAUGGUCACGGAAAGAAUCAAACUCGUAUCUCAAGGCACCCCCGCAUGAUUUCUGAGGAGAAAUAUCGCGAGUGGUAAAUGACGUGAACGCGGGGCCCCGUUAGUUACAUUUUCAUAACUUUAGAAAGAUAAUGCCCAGGUUGACAGUGUCAGAGGGUUAUUUGUGCACUACUGUAUCAUGUUUAUUAUUGUCAUUUUACUUUGUAGUGGCGUACAACUGCACUUUCCAGUAUUCUCAUUCAUCUACUUGACAGAAUGUAAAUGAUUAGACACAAUAAGCGCGAAAUGACUAUUAUACGUAUGAUAAUGUCUUUUUUGUUUUUUUUUUAAGGAAAGCAUUUUUAAAAAAAAAAAAGUACGAGUGUACCUGUCAGGGUAAUUGCGUCAUUUUAAAAGGGAUUGUUCUUGAAAUACCGUGUUGCCGUUUUAUCUGCCUUAAAGAAUGUCAGAUCAAUGCUUCUGGAAGAUGUCGACGACAGAAGCCAAAGUAUGGGAAUGUUAUUAUUAUCAGUCUAUUUAUGGGGGAAGAAACCACUGGAUCGCUGAAUUCAUCCUUGUUAGGAUAACAUUAGAUUUCAUAAUCACAAUGUACCUAACGUGCUUUGUUAACUUUAUACUGAAGAUGGUGUACGAGGCAAUAAAGUGUCCGUAAUCAUGGAAAUGUCCACGUU